AUCAGUUAUGGUUCCUUAGAUCGUACCCACAUUUACUUGGAUAACUGUGGUAAUUCUAGAGCUAAUACAUGCAAACAGAGCUCCGACCGGAGACGGAAGGAGUGCUUUUAUUAGAUCAAAACCAAUCGGCGUCAGUAUCGUUUCGGCGUUACUGUUCGUCGCAAUGCUUGGUGACUCUGAAUAACUUUUGGCUGAUCGCACGGUCUCGCACCGGCGACGCAUCUUUCAAAUGUCUGCCUUAUCAACUGUCGAUGGUAGGUUCUGCGCCUACCAUGGUUGUAACGGGUAACGGGGAAUCAGGGUUCGAUUCCGGAGAGGGAGCCUGAGAAACGGCUACCACAUCCAAGGAAGGCAGCAGGCGCGCAAAUUACCCACUCCCGGCACGGGGAGGUAGUGACGAAAAAUAACGAUACGGGACUCAUCCGAGGCCCCGUAAUCGGAAUGAGAACACUUUAAAUCCUAUAUCAAGGACCAAUUAGAGGGCAAGUCUGGUGUCAGCCGCCGCGGUAACUCCAGCUGCCGGUGGAUGCGUGUCCUUUGUCUUCUUGCCCAUCAUGCGUGUGCAACUUGUUGUUACUGUAUGGUGCGGUGAGGUUCAAAUGUGGCACCAUCCGACUCAAUAAUCCUGUCGCGGUGCUCUUAAUUGAGUGUCGAGGCGGGCCGGCACGUUUACUUUGAACAAAUUAGAGUGCUCAAAGCAGGCUAAAAUUUCGCCUGAAUACUGUGUGCAUGGAAUAAUGGAACAGGACCUCGGUUCUAUUUUGUUGGUUUUCGGAACCCCGAGGUAAUGAUUAAUAGGGACAGAUGGGGGCAUUCGUAUUGCGACGUUAGAGGUGAAAUUCUUGGAUCGUCGCAAGACGGACAGAAGCGAAAGCAUUUGCCAAAAAUGUUUUCAUUAAUCAAGAACGAAAGUCAGAGGCUCGAAGGCGAUCAGAUACCGCCCUAGUUCUGACCAUAAACGAUGCCAGCUAGCGAUCCGCCGACGUUCCUCCGAUGACUCGGCGGGCAGCUUCCGGGAAACCAAAGCUUUUGGGUUCCGGGGGAAGUAUGGUUGCAAAGCUGAAACUUAAAGGAAUUGACGGAAGGGCACCACCAGGAGUGGAGCCUGCGGCUUAAUUUGACUCAACACGGGAAACCUUACCAGGCCCGGACACCGGAAGGAUUGACAGAUUGAGAGCUCUUUCUUGAUUCGGUGGGUGGUGGUGCAUGGCCGUUCUUAGUUGGUGGUGUGAAUUGUCUGGUUAAUUCCGAUAACGAACGAGACUCUAGCCUGCUAAAUAGGCGUUAUUACCGGUAUCCUGAAGGCUCGUGUCUCUCGUCUCCUGGCGUGCUUUCGCUGUGGCGUAUCAUCGUUUAGGCGGUGUGCGUUGCACGGGGCGCGUUCAGUGCGGGAGUUCACGGUUUUUACUACCGGCGUACAUAUAAUUCUUCUUAGAGGGACAGGCGGCUUCUAGCCGCACGAGAUUGAGCAAUAACAGGUCUGUGAUGCCCUUAGAUGUUCUGGGCCGCACGCGCGCUACACUGAAGGAAUCAACGUGUUUUCCCUGGCCGAAUGGUCCGGGUAACCCGCUGAACCUCCUUCGUGCUAGGGAUUGGGGCUUGCAAUUUUUCCCCAUGAACGAGGAAUUCCCAGUAAGCGUGAGUCAUAAGCUCAUGUUGAUUAAGUCCCUGCCCUUUGUACACACCGCCCGUCGCUACUACCGAUUGAAUGAUUUAGUGAGGUCUUCGGACUGGUACGCGGCGGAGUUUCGACUUUGCCGAUGUCGCUGG
rnacentral:rRNA from 1 species